CCUAAUUUCCGGAGAUUGGCCCAAUCAUAGUUCCAUGGAAUGAUGCUCCUAUUUACGGCUUUACAUAUGCACUAUCAACUCCACGAGUGUCCCUCCACCUGCUUCUCUGAAAUUGGGUGAGGGAUUGAUUACUUCUAAUCCCAGACCUGCUCAAAUUGCUGGAAAGAAUAAAAGGAGAAGCAAACCUCUACUGAAAGAUACCAUCUCCACCAAGAUCCAGAAAAUUAAGUCUGUGGAGAUCAAUGAUGAUGCACAUGACCCCCAGAAGGUUGUCCUUCCAAAGGAACUGCAGCCACGGAAGAAGAGUGUUAAGGUAAAGACCAAAAGAGACCCAUCAAUCACGGAUUCAUCAGAGUUCAAUCCUUCUGAGGAAGAAGGAAAGGAGAAGAAAGAAGGGAAGGAUAAGAAAGAGAGGAAGAGAAAAGAAGAAAAUAAUAGCAAUAAAGUAGAAGAGAGAGAUAGGUUAAAGAAGACAAAGAAAGAUGCUAGUCUGAAUGAAUCAGCCAAAGAGAAGAUCCUAGAAGUCUAGAAGGUUAACCUUGGGUGUUCUUUACAUGAUGAGACCCCUUUGAUUUUGAUGAAACAGGAAAAUUCAUCAACUAAGGAUGAUGAAAUAACUACUACCCUCCAUGCCAAGACUUCAGCGAUUGGAGCAGAAACCACAGAACCAGUGGAACAAACCAAUUACUCAGUCAUGGUGUUUUCCUCCCUUCUCUCCAACAAGGUCUCAUAUCCUAUUAGCAAAGAUGCUAUCGAGAGUUCCAGUCCUGAGAUUUCAAAAAAGUAAGUAAAAGAUUCGGCAGAUGAUUUUAUUGAUCUGGAUGUCUUUUUCUCUGAGCUGGAGGUUGAGGUUAAUCCUGAAAGGUAAGAAGCUUCCACUGUCCAGCCUGAGGCUCUUGCUUGCACCAUUUCAGUGUCUCAACCAAGUUGCAAAGUCAUUGAAAAAGCAAAUGAGAUCUUUAAGAAUAUUCUCCCAACUCCAUUCAAGGAUUUAGUACACCCUGACCGAUGUAUUGAGCUAGAAUUGGUCCUUUCUACACUGCUUUGGGCCUCUGGUUUUAAUCCAGAGCAAUACGAGGCCUUGAGAAGGUUCAAGGAAGAAUUCCCAGUCCUUACUGUUGACUACAAAGUCUCCAAGGCCACUCAAGAGGACUGUGAGGGCAAGCUCAAUGCCAUUGAAAUUUUAUCAGCCAAGCUGGUGGAGGGAUUGGUUAACUAUAAGAAGAUGAGGACCGGUAGGCAGAAUUUAAAGGAGGAGGAGCAAGAUACCGGGGCUGAGAUUCUUCGGCUGAAGAUAAGGUUGGCUAAAGUGGUCAAAGAGAGGGAGGAACUGGAAAAGAUGAUGCAGGAGCUAACUGAGAUCACCUGUGCCAAAAAUAUUCAACAUGAAAAAGCCAAGGCUGAUAUCACUGGUCUAAUGGUCAGGAAAAGGAGAGCUCAAUGGUUUCUAGCUCGAGCUGAAAAAACAUGGGCCGAAUUCAAGGCCAUGUUUUCUUGAGAAUCGCCGACCUUGUAUUUGCAGAUAUUAUUGGCAGCUAUAUUUUGAAUUGUUACCAUAUCCAGCCUUCAAUUUCAUUAUCCGUCUCAGUAGUAUGAGCUAAUGAGGUGACUGUGCCACACUUCAUCAUUUGCCCCCUCUUUAACCGCAGAAAACUUCUACCAGUGUACCACAUUGAGCCCAUGAUUCACAUGUUAGAAUCAACUUCAAGAGCUAUUAGACCUGUACUCUCUGAUUUUAGUUUCUGCUUGAUGCUCUCUUUCUCCUGGCAAAGAUUGGCCUGCCCCAGCCUGGUUUUUCUCAUGAUGGUUGGAAUCUACAAGAAGAUACAAAGGCUCUUCAAUUAUUGUAGGUGAUUUUGGAAAUGAGAACGUUGAGCUUGUUAGAAGUAUUGUGCAGCUAAAAGUUGCUAAAGCAGUUAUAUUGGGAAACCAUGAUGCCUGGAGAACUCAACAAUUUGCUGAAAGGAGGAAGGACCGAGUCCAACUACAGUUGGAAUGGUGAGCAUAUACUUUCUCUUUUUUCUCAUUAAUAUAUGAAAGGGUUUAAUUGCACAUAUUCUGGAUAAUUUAUUGUUGUAUGAUGCUUUAUUAUUUAAGAAAUGCUAGAGAGCCCAAAUUUUAUACCCACAAAUUCACUCACAAUGGUGUGGCAAGAGAGUUGGGCCUAUGUAUUCGAAUGUGUGACAAAUCAAAAGUUGACACCUAUUAUGCCACAUCAUUGUGAGUCAAAUUUGGGAUCUCAAAUAUUUUCCUUAUUAUUUAUUAACUUUUAGAUGUUCAGUAUUUUCGGCAUCUUCCUGUCCUACCAUCUAUAUCACACUAAAAAUAUUUGGCAUUGCUUGUUGUGACUUCAUAUUUCUUGAUGUCAACUAGUUAACCUUUGACCACCUUCUCUUUUACUUAUUGUUUCCUUCUUUUGUGACAAAUGGGAUCACAGAAGAAGGCCACAUAGUAAGCCAAUGGGUGAAAUUUUGGUAGCUAGAUAAGAUCAAGGUCACAUUUUCAGACUAAGACUAGAAUGCACCCCAGGAAAGCCACUACUGCAAGAAAGCAAAUUGAUUGGUUUAAUUAUCCAAGCAAACCAUGUAGUCAUGGACAAUAUAUAAAUUUGAAUUAAAAUAGCGAAACCAUGUGUUUGUGGUUUGGGGAUCAUUGAAAAUCAUUGUGAAGCCUCUUGAAUACUAAAAACUUGAUAGUAUAGGUGCUUUCAGAGUAUAGGAAGAUAUUAUGGAGGAGCAUCCUGCACAUCCAUUGGCAAUACCAAAUGAAAUAGCUAUUGAAUAACUAAUCUCGUGUUUUGAUCUUGAAAGUGUUUGGUUUUUUACACUCCAUUUAUAGACACCGGGAGGUAAGAUCCUGGGUGAGAUCCUAGAUGUAGAUCAGGAGGUAAGAUCCUACAAGUGAGAUCCUGAUCCUUGGCACACUCAUGUGGUGAUGUGUCACUACCAUUAAUAGAGAUAGACCCAUGUACCUACACAACACAAACCUAGACUUGUUUUGUUUCAUGAAAUUGACAACAACCUAAAUCCUCACUCUACAUCCUAUAAUCAGAUUUUGUCUUUAACAAAAGUUGAAUUAAAAUUAAAUUAGGAAAAAGUUGUAGGGCUAUUUAUGGGCUUUUUAUUCUCCUAGUAAGAGUCUUUUGUGUGUCAAUAAUUACCUUUCACUCGCUUAAUUAAAAUUCUUAUAAAAUUGACCCGAUCUUUUGCUAAAAUAUUUGAUCAGGGUACAAAGGUUCUAUUGCAUCUGUUUUGGGUAAGUCAUACUUAUAUAGAUAUAAAACAACGUCCAAUUAGCACACAUUAAUGUGUUUGGGAGGGGAAAUAUUGAGAACACACUUAACCUUUAACAUAUCAUACUUAUAUAGAUAUACUAGAUUUAAAUGUACAUCAAAAUCUAUUAAGACCAAUCUCCUCAAGUGUCUCUAUUCCAUGGUUGUCAAAAUCUAGAUCCUGAUCUUACAAUCCAUUUGGGCACAAUUGAUCCGGAUCGUGUAAAAAAUCCCUCACAAAUAGGAUCUUUCGAUCCUGGUAAUAGGAUCUUAUAACAUUAUGGAAUCCCGAUCUGAAUCUAAUCCAAUUUGUAAGCCUUGUUUUGUAUUGUAUGGCCUAUUUUAUUAUAAAUUUUA